rnacentral:rRNA from 1 species
GAUUAACGCUGGCGGCGUGCAUAACACAUGCAAGUCGAACGAUGAAACUUAGUAGACUUCUUCGGAAAGACACUAAGCGGAUUAGUGGCGAACGGGUGAGUAACGCGUGAGUAACCUGCCUUACACAAGGGGAUAGCCUUUGGAUACGACGAAUAAUACCCUAUAAAACCAUAAAAGCACAUGCUAGAAUGGUCAAAGUGAUAGCGGUGUAAGAUGGACUUGCGUCUGAUUAGCUAGUUGGUGAGAUAAAAGCUCACCAAGGCAACGAUCAGUAGCCGGCUUGAGAGAGUGUACGGCCACAUUGGGACUGAGACACGGCCCAGACUCCGACGGGAGGCAGCAGUGGGGAAUUUUGCACAAUGGGGGAAACACUGAUGCAGCGACGCCGCGUGAUUUAGAAGGCCUUCGGGUUGUAAAAAUCGUUUGUAUAGGAAGAAAAUGACAGUACUAUACGAAUAAGGUCCGGCUAAUUACGUG